rnacentral:rRNA from 1 species
CAAUAGCGUAUAUUAAAGUUGUUGCGGUUAAAAAGCUCGUAGUUGGAUUUCUGCUGAGGACGACCGGUCCGCCCUCUGGGUGAGUAUCUGGCUUGGCCUUGGCAUCUUCUUGGAGAACGUAGCUGCACUUGACUGUGUGGUGCGGUAUCCAGGACUUUACUUGAGGAAAUUAGAGUGUUUCAAGCAGGCUAUUGCCUUGAAUACAUUAGCAUGGAAUAAUAAUCUAGGACUUCGGUUCUAUUUUGUUGGUUUCUAGUACUGAAGUAAUGAUUGAUAGGGAUAGUUGGGGGUGCUAGUAUUGACCGGCCAGAGGUGAAAUUCUUGGAUUCGGUCAAGACUAACUUAUGCGAAAGCAUUCACCAAGGAUGUCUUCUUUAAUCAAGAACGAAAGUUGGGGGAUCGAAGACGAUUAGAUACCA